rnacentral:rRNA from 1 species
UGAUGGCGUGCCUUUUGAAGAAUGAGCCUGCGAGUCAGCGGCAUGUCGCGAGGUUAACCCGUGUGGGGUAGCCGUAGGGAAACCGAAUCCUAAUGGGGUGUCAAGUGGCAUGUCCUGGACCCGAAGCGGGGUGAUCUACCCAUGGCCAGGUUGAAGCGCGGGUAAGACCGCGUGGAGGACCGAACCCACUUAGGUUGAAAACUGAGGGGAUGACCUGUGGAUAGGGGUGAAAGGCCAAUCAAACUGGGAGAUAGCUCGUACUCCCCGAAAUGCAUUUAGGUGCAGCGUCGCAAAUGAGUUUAUUAGAGGUAGAGCUACUGAUUGGAUGCGGGGGAGUCAAAUCCUACCAAUUCCUGACAAACUCCGAAUGCUAAUAAAUGUUCUGUGGCAGUGAGGGCAUGGGUGCUAAGGUCCAUGUCCGAGAG